rnacentral:lncRNA from 1 species
GUUGGAGUUUGCUCACUAGCUGUGUUAUUGUCAGUUUCCUCAAGUGGUUCCUCUGGUUCCUCCAGUGGAGCCUGGUAUUGUAUUAUGCCAUCGACAUCAGUGUCGUCAAAUCUAGUAUCAUGCCCUGCUGAAGGCAGUAUUGGUACCUGUGCACACAAUAAUCACAUAACAAGAUUGUAUGAUAAUAAUCUGUUUGGCAGAGUAUCGGUACCUGUGCGCACAAUAAUCACAUGACAAGACUGUAUAAUAUAAUCUGACAAUUACACUUGAUGAUUGCGUGUACAAUAAUCACAUCAAAAAUUUAUGCAAGACUGUUAUCAUAUUAACUGAAGUAACAGAUGAUUUAGAUUGCCUAAAAAGAAGCUGCACAAACAGUGCAAAAAUGGAUGUGGAUAUCAUAAUUGAGAACAAGAAGUAGUCUUUGCCGGAGAAGCUAGAUCUAGCUCCUUCAAUCAAGGCAUGAUAUAAGCACACAGCCAAGGAUAAAUUUAAUCUGUACUUUUGAGUUAAUACAAUUAUAUUUUACUGA